GCCGUAUCACGUUGAAACACCGGUUCCCGUACCAUCACCGAUGUUAAGCAACGUCGAGCCUGGUCAGUACCUAUCUGGGUGACCGUUUGGGAAUACCAGAUGCUGUAAG